rnacentral:misc_RNA from 1 species
GGAAGGAUCAUUAAUGAAUCUCCAUUCGGUUGUCUGUGCUGGUGGCAACACAUGUGCACGUCAAUCGUAUUCCAUCCUCCUCUCAAUUGUCCAAGCAUGUUCUGGUUAUCAGUUGACCUUUGGUCUUCUGUGUGAGUUCGCGAAAGUGACUCGACCCGAUAUGUCUUGGUGUUUUCACCCACACCGGGUAUUAGAAACAAAGAAAUAAAAUGUAUAAACUUAUACAACUUUCAACAACGGAUCUCUUGGCUCUCGCAUCGAUGAAGAACGCAGCGAAAUGCGAUAAGUAAUGUGAAUUGCAGAAUUCAGUGAAUCAUCGAAUCUUUGAACGCACCUUGCACCCUUUGGUAUUCCGAAGGGUACGCCCGUUUGAGUGUCAUUGUAAUCUCAACUCCAUAUUUUUUUUUGUGUGAGUUGGACUUGGAUCUCGUCGCGCUUGUGGCCGAUCCGAAAUACAUCAGUGUGUAUUCGUCGUGACGAUAAACCGAUUGUUAAGUUUCAUCGGACUUGCUUUGUCAAGGUCGUCUGGCGAAAUUAUAUGCUAAACCCUAUACAUUGACAAUUUGACCUCAAAUCGGGUGGGAUCACCCGCUGAACUUAAGCAUAUCAAUAAGCGGAGGAAAAGAAACUAACAAGGAUUCCCCUAGUAACGGCGAGUGAAGAGGGAAAAGCUCAAAUUUUGAAUCUGGCGCCUUUGGCUCCCGAGUUGUAAUCUAGAGAAGUGUUUUCCGCAUCGGACCGUGUACAAGUUCCCUGGAACGGGACGUCAUAGAGGGUGAGAAUCCCGUACAUGCCACGGACUGCCGUUGCUCUGUGAUACACUCUCAACGAGUCGAGUUGUUUGGGAAUGCAGCUCAAAAUGGGUGGUAAAUUCCAUCUAAAGCUAAAUAUUGGCGAGAGACCGAUAGCGAACAAGUACCGUGAGGGAAAGAUGAAAAGCACUUUGGAAAGAGAGUGAAACAGUACGUGAAAUUGUUGAAAGGGAAGCGUUUGGAGUCAGUCACGUCUGGCGGGAUUCAGCCUUGCUUCUGCUUGGUGUAUUUCCUGUCCGACGGGUCAGUGUCGAUUUCGAUUGAGGGAGAAAGGCUUGGGAAAUGUGGCCGUCUUCGGGCGGUGUUAUAGUCCCUUGUUGUAUGUCUCAGUUGGGAUCGAGGAUCGCAGCACGCCUUUUGGCCGGGGUUCGCUCCCUCGGUACGUGCUUAGGACACUGGCAUAAUGGCUUUAAGCGACCCGUCUUGAAACACGGACCAAGGAGUCUAACAUGUGCGCGAGUGUUUGGGUGUUAAACCCGGACGCGUAAUGAAAGUGAAAGGUCGGGAACAUGUACUUGUGCACCGACGCCCGGAGCAGACCUACUGUGACGCAUCCGCGGUAGAGCGUAUACGUUGGGACCCGAAAGAUGGUGAACUAUGCCUGAAUAGGGUGAAGCCAGAGGAAACUCUGGUGGAGGCUCGUAGCGAUUCUGACGUGCAAAUCGAUCGUCAAAUUUGGGUAUAGGGGCGAAAGACUAAUCGAACCAUCUAGUAGCUGGUUCCUGC